GAUGAACGCUAGUAACAGGCUUAACACAUGCAAGUCGAGGGGCAGCAUGGUCUUAGCUUGCUAAGACUGAUGGCGACCGGCGCACGGGUGAGUAACACGUAUCCAACCUGCCGUCUACUCUUGGACAGCCUUCUGAAAGGAAGAUUAAUACAAGAUGGCAUCAUGAGUCCGCAUGUUCACAUGAUUAAAGGUAUUCCGGUAGACGAUGGGGAUGCGUUCCAUUAGAUAGUAGGCGGGGUAACGGCCCACCUAGUCUUCGAUGGAUAGGGGUUCUGAGAGGAAGAUCCCCCACAUUGGAACUGAGACACGGUCCAAACUCCUACGGGAGGCAGCAGUGAGGAAUAUUGGUCAAUGGGGCGAGAGCCUGAACCAGCCAAGUAGCGUGAAGGAUGACUGCCCUAUGGGUUGUAAACUUCUUUUAUAAAGGAAUAAAGUCGGGUAUGCAUACCCGUUUGCAUGUACUUUAUGAAUAAGGAUCGGCUAACUCCGUGCCAGCAGCCGCGGUAAUACGGAGGAUCCGAGCGUUAUCCGGAUUUAUUGGGUUUAAAGGGAGCGUAGAUGGAUGUUUAAGUCAGUUGUGAAAGUUUGCGGCUCAACCGUAAAAUUGCAGUUGAUACUGGAUAUCUUGAGUGCAGUUGAGGCAGGCGGAAUUCGUGGUGUAGCGGUGAAAUGCUUAGAUAUCACGAAGAACUCCGAUUGCGAAGGCAGCCUGCUAAGCUGCAACUGACAUUGAGGCUCGAAAGUGUGGGUAUCAAACAGGAUUAGAUACCCUGGUAGUCCACACGGUAAACGAUGAAUACUCGCUGUUUGCGAUAUACGGCAAGCGGCCAAGCGAAAGCGUUAAGUAUUCCACCUGGGGAGUACGCCGGCAACGGUGAAACUCAAAGGAAUUGACGGGGGCCCGCACAAGCGGAGGAACAUGUGGUUUAAUUCGAUGAUACGCGAGGAACCUUACCCGGGCUUAAAUUGCAGAUGAAUUACGGUGAAAGCCGUAAGCCGCAAGGCAUCUGUGAAGGUGCUGCAUGGUUGUCGUCAGCUCGUGCCGUGAGGUGUCGGCUUAAGUGCCCAUAACGAGCGCAACCCUUGUUGUCAGUUACUAACAGGUUCUGCUGAGGACUCUGACAAGACUGCCAUCGUAAGAUGUGAGGAAGGUGGGGAUGACGUCAAAUCAGCACGGCCCUUACGUCCGGGGCUACACACGUGUUACAAUGGGGGGUACAGAGGGCCGCUACCACGCGAGUGGAUGCCAAUCCCCAAAACCUCUCUCAGUUCGGACUGGAGUCUGCAACCCGACUCCACGAAGCUGGAUUCGCUAGUAAUCGCGCAUCAGCCACGGCGCGGUGAAUACGUUCCCGGGCCUUGUACACACCGCCCGUCAAGCCAUGGGAGCCGGGGGUACCUGAAGUGCGUAACCGCGAGGAGCGCCCUAGGGUAAAACUGGUGACUGGGGCUA
rnacentral:rRNA from 1 species